UAUUUGAGAAUUAUUUAAUCAAAUUCAGAACCUAUGGUCUUCAAUUGUGAUAGAACAUUUGCAAUAGUCAGAGUAGAUAUUGUAUGAAUCAACUUCAUGUAUAAUAUUCAAGACUGUGCAUUUUAAAAACCUUUUUUUAUGAUGUCUAUUAACAUGGUCUGUAUAAAUAAUACAUUCGUGUUGAGUAGCGCAUAGGAUUAUAUGGAAUAUCAACAGCUUUCGGAGAAUAGAUGCAAUGGUCAGAUGUGGAUGUUGGAGUACACGUAUCACAUGUACUUACCAUAUAAGUCACCUUAUAUGCUAUAUUGACAGAAAUGUGCCAUUUACAAUGACCUAGCAUUGUGUAGUAAUGCAUUACACUGUGAUGGAACCUAAUAACUGUUGUUAACGGCCAACAUGAAAAUCAAUGUACAAUCCUGAGGAGUGACCGCGUCCCUCACUGACAAAAUAAUUGAUUUGGCUGGACACACUGACAACAACACAUGAUCUGGACACAGAUAUUACAGUAAUGGGCAGAACAGUAGAACUCCAAGCACAACUCUGUGUCUCCAUACUGAUCCAGGUCCCAAUGUCCCCAUUGCUCCACACCUCCAUCUGAUUACAUUAUAAUCUUUAUGCUGUCUCUUUCUUUCAUAGGCAAAUCACUUUUAUGUGUGAUUGUCCGUGGAUAUUAUGUGGAUAUUAUGAAUCCUCUCAUAUCAGUUUGACAAAUGUGUGUCCCAGCUUUUUUCUGUGGCUUUUUGCCUCUGCUUUUAUUCCUCUCCGAUCUUGCUCUCAUUUGAUUCACUUUGAGGAAAAUUAGAAAAUGUAUUAGGGUAGGAGUGUGUAAUGACGAAUUAAUAAAACAUUGUUAAUGAGAAAAUAUGUGUAAAGUCAUGGAUUAAAUAAAUGUGUAUAGAGGACAUUUUUGAUUGUGGUGUUCAUUCAGCGGGCAGGAGGGAGGGAGGGAAUGGAGAGAAAAGGGGUUGCUCGGGAGAAGGAGAAAGUAUGGUUGCCAUGGUAUCCCAGUCAUGAUGCAAGAGUAUGUUUUUACCCAGGCAAGACAGAGAGACAGUAAGACAAAGAAAGCCAUUUUGAAAGCUGGAAAGGCCAUGUUCUUGUAGAUGUAAUCACAGACACUGUGAUUACAUCUUGAAAGGUUAAACCAGUCUCAUAUAGCGACUUCAGCUAAGUCAUCUAAUAUUCUAAAAUAGUAUCAGUGUCUUGAGAAAUGAUUAACACCCUUUGACUUACUUUUUUUUGUCUUACAAAUGUGGGAUUAAAACGGACUAAAUUGUCAAAGAUCUACACAAAAUACUUUCAUGUCAAAGUGGAAGAAACAUUUUAUAUUUUAAUAAAACACAAAUACAUGUUGAUUAGAUAUGUAUUCAACCCCCUGAGUCAAUAAAUGUUAGAAUCACCUUUGGCAGCGAUUACAGCUUUGAGUCUUUCUGGGUAAGUCUUUAAGAGCUUUGCACGCCUGGAUUGAACAAUUAUUUGCCCAUUUUUCUUUUUUAAAAAUCAUCAAGCUCUGUCAAAUUGACUGUUGAUCAUUGCUGGACAGCCAUUUUCAAGUCUUGCCAUAGAGUUUCAAGCCGGCUUAAAUCUAAACUGUAGCUAUACCCCUCAGGAACAUUCAAUGUCAUCUAGGUAAGCAACUACAGGGGGGUAGAUUUAGCCUUGUGUUUUAGGUUAUUGUUGAAAAGUAGACUGAACCAGAUUUUCGUCUAGGAUUUUGCCUGUGCUUAGCUAUA
ensembl:lncRNA